rnacentral:rRNA from 1 species
AGGCUAGAGUCUUGUAGAGGGGGGUAGAAUUCCAGGUGUAGCGGUGAAAUGCGUAGAGAUCUGGAGGAAUACCGGUGGCGAAGGCGGCCCCCUGGACAAAGACUGACGCUCAGGUGCGAAAGCGUGGGGAGCAAACAGGAUUAGAUACCCUGGUAGUCCACGCCGUAAACGAUGUCGACUUGGAGGUUGUGCCCUUGAGGCGUGGCUUCCGGAGCUAACGCGUUAAGUCGACCGCCUGGGGAGUACGGCCGCAAGGUUAAAACUCAAAUGAAUUGACGGGGGCCCGCACAAGCGGUGGAGCAUGUGGUUUAAUUCGAUGCAACGCGAAGAACCUUACCUA